rnacentral:rRNA from 1 species
GAUGAACGCUGGCGGUGUGCCUAAUACAUGCAAGUCGAGCGAACAGAUAAGGAGCUUGCUCCUUUGACGUUAGCGGCGGACGGGUGAGUAACACGUGGAUAACCUACCUAUAAGACUGGGAUAACUUCGGGAAACCGGAGCUAAUACCGGAUAACAUAUUGAACCGCAUGGUUCAAUAGUGAAAGGCGGCUUUGCUGUCACUUAUAGAUGGAUCCGCGCCGUAUUAGCUAGUUGGUAAGGUAACGGCUUACCAAGGCAACGAUACGUAGCCGACCUGAGAGGGUGAUCGGCCACACUGGAACUGAGACACGGUCCAGACUCCUACGGGAGGCAGCAGUAGGGAAUCUUCCGCAAUGGGCGAAAGCCUGACGGAGCAACGCCGCGUGAGUGAUGAAGGUCUUCGGAUCGUAAAACUCUGUUAUCAGGGAAGAACAAAUGUGUAAGUAACUGUGCACAUCUUGACGGUACCUGAUCAGAAAGCCACGGCUAACUACGUG